UACAGAGGGUGCAAGCGUUGUUCGGAAUUAUUGGGCGUAAAGCGCGUGUAGGCGGCUUUGCAAGUCGGGUGUGAAAGCCCUCAGCUCAACUGAGGAAGUGCGCCCGAAACUGCAGAGCUUGAGUGCCGGAGAGGGUGGCGGAAUUCCCCAAGUAGAGGUGAAAUUCGUAGAUAUGGGGAGGAACACCGGUGGCGAAGGCGGCCAUCGUGGACGGUAACUGACGCUGAGAACGCGGAAAGCAGUGGGGGAGCAAACACGG
rnacentral:rRNA from 1 species